CACGUAGGAGGCGAGCGUUGUCCGGAAUCAUUGGGCGUAAAGAGCGCGCAGGCGGCUUGGCAAGUCGCGUGUGAAAGCCCCCCGGCUCAACUGGGGAGGGUCACGCGAUACUGAUCGACUCGAAGGCAGGAGAGGGAAGUGGAAUUCCCGGUGUAGUGGUGAAAUGCGUAGAUAUCGGGAGGAACACCAGUGGCGAAGGCGGCUCUCUGGGACGGUACUGACGCUGAGACGCGAAAGCGUGGGGAGCGAACAGG
rnacentral:rRNA from 1 species